CCCAAAACAUUUUUGUCUCGAGGAACAAUAGGAGGUAAUGGACAUGAAAAUGCUACUCUGCUCCGUCUGCUUCCAUUGCUUUUAGGCAGUGUAGUACCAGAAGGUGAUGGUGCAUGGACAGUUUUGAUGGAACUGAAAGAGGUAGUGGAGUUAGCAUUAUGCCCAUCAUUUACUGAUGAAACCCUAGACUAUUUUCAGUCCAAAAUCAGUGAUCAUAAGCAGGUACUGCUGGAGACGUUCCCCGAGUUUAGCCUUCGUCCUAAACAUCACUACGUGGAGCAUUACCCCACCCUGAUCAAGUGCUUUGGGCCCCUGGUGCAUGUUUGGACAAUGCGAUUUGAGGCCAAACACCGUUUUUUUAAAAGGGUUGUGCAUGACGCUCAAAACUUCAAAAAUAUUUUGAAGACAAUGGCGGUCAGACACCAACACAUGAUGGCAUACCAUCUUGCUGCCCCAUCAUUUUUCAAGCCAAAAACACAAGCAUCCAGGGUUGACUCUGUUCUGGUUUCAGCUCUACCAGAAGUAGCUCAACUACACAUUAGAAGACUAACAAUUAGUGACACAAUCUACCAGACAUCAAAGGUUACCAUUGAUGGCACAGACUAUCUCUCUAAAAUGUUUUUGACUGUCGGAGACAGUGGUGGGCUAUCUAGGUUUUGCAGAGUAGAACAUAUCUACCUUGUCAAUAGCACAGUUUCUUUUCUUUGUUCUAAUUAUGAUUCCUGGUAUUUAGAACAUCUUCGAUCCUAUGAGCUGUCACCUUCACAGACAAGUCUGUCAAUCCACCUGCAGGCUGAUCUCAACGAUUCAGUCCCUCUCUCUGCAUACGAGGUAGAAGGCUUGCUUCUGUUGACUCCCAAGAGAUUCAUACAAGUAAAACAGAACUGAGUCUAGCCAGUGGUGAGUAGUUCUUUGUGAAUCAGUUACUAUAUCUUUAUUACUGUGUAAUCUAGCAUUAUAUAAGCUAUGUAUUUUAUUAACCAUUUAUAUACCAAUUUGCUUUCCUUUAGCAUAAUGGCAGCUGUAUCCCCACAACCCUUAAUUCUUCGUGUUGUUGAUCCAGACCAGGCUAGAAAAGUAAAACUCAGUUCACGAUCAACCUCUGUUGAUGCACUGAUUGCAGUUAUUAAAGAACAACUGGAAAUAGACCAUGACUUCAGUUUAAAAUAUGAAGACCCUGACUUUGAUGGGAAACUUACUUCUCUCUCUGACAUUGAUGAGUUGCCACAGAAAGCUGUUGUGCAUGUCACAUUUGAGCAAGAUUCCAGCUCUCUUGCAUCAGCUGAAACAAUCUCAAGUGUAUCAUCCUCAGAACGUGGGAGCAGAUGGCCUCCAGUUCUUUUUCCAAUUCAAACAUUUUCUUUUGAUGUUGAACUGAAACUUCGAGAAGGUAAUGCCCAAUUUGAGAAGAACAACAAGCACCUUCAGUUAACAAGAGAUGUAAAGCAUGAAAUUUUAGAAAAGCUAGCAUCCUCGAUGUAUGGCUACAAGGCUUAUCCCAGUGAUAAGGAGAUAGCAAGGGUAGCUGAGGCUCUUGUGGUAAAAUAUCCUUGCUUGAAGGAAGCAGGAUCUGAGACUGGCUGGAAUGGGUGGAAGAACAGCCUCAAGUUUAAGAUGGGAAACUAUAGGAGCAAGAUGAGAAGGGCUGGAUGUCCAGAGAUCACUGUAAAUGCAGGAAAAAGAAGUAGAAUGAAUCCUGACAGUGAAUCUUCACAUUCAAAUAUUAAAAGACCCAAACGAGCAGAAGUAAACUUUCUGCCCAACUUUCCCCAGGGAGAGAAUCCCUCUACUCUUGAACAUUUAAGGCAGGAAAUCGUUGAUGAAAUGAAGAAAGCUGAGAAGAACUUUGCGCUUAUAAGAAAGAUGAUGCAGAAAACAUUUGCCCUGCGGCGACAGACCAUAGUGAACACAUGCCCACCAGUGAAAGAGCUCAUGGAACUCUGGCCUGCACUCAAAAUGGAGUCUGAGGUAUAUGCAGAGUUCCAAUGAAUUACAAACCAGAACCUGCCCAACACAUUGUACUCUGAGCUUGACAGACAUAUUCCUAGACUGAUGACCCUGUUCAGACAGAAGGCAGCCAAAACCGGGAAGACAUCAGAUGCUCUGGCUGAAAUCCUAAGAAUCUAUGAUGAACAGGAGCUUCAUGACGUACACACCAAGCGUACCACUGUUCUUCAUGCCCUUCCUGUGUAUCUACAUGAGGACGUCUCUGGGUUCUUCAGGACCUGCACAGACACAUCUGAUGAGCCACUGCUUUUAGAUGUUGCAGUGGCCCUCCUUACAGUCGUCACAGAUAAUGACACAAGUCCAGUUCACUUCCAGCCUGUGAAAAUCUCUGUUGUCAUUGAAAGCGAGAUUGUGGUCAACCUCUCCAGAUUUGCUGAUGCCUUCCUGGUAAUGUUUGGACUGAUCUAUGCACUACACCUCAGCUAUCCCAGGGGACUGACCAACACUUUUGAAUUCACUCAAAAAAUUUUACUUGGUCUUGAAGGUGGUAAACUGUCACCCAAGUUACAGAGUCUCAAAAAUGACUUGAUGCGUAUGUAGAAAUGUAUCUGAAAAAGUUUAAUGCCUGGCAGUUCCUAUGUAGUUCAAUGUAGGUUAUUUCUGUGAAAAUAAUGCCUUAAAAGGUU